CAUAGAUCUCCAUUUUACUAUCCUCCCGCCGCACUCUCUCAAAAUCUUCUCUCCCUCUUUUUGACGAGGAACCCAAAAGCCAGUGGCCACUUUGGCCACCGCUCUUCAACCGUUCCGAUGAGCGGCUUUUCUACCCCAAACGGUCUCCUUAAGCCCAAUUUAGAGUCCCUAACCCAACUUGCCUCCUGAAUCGAACCAAACCAAGACCCUAACCCUCAAAACUAUUCCUUUUUAACACCCACUCUCAACCAAACGAGAACCCAAAAAGAAAAGGGAUUACCUUUGGUGCUCAGACGACUCUCCUGACUCAGGCGAAACAUCGACGGCCACUCGUUCCCGAAGGUCCUCUGAUCAUGUUUGCAUGGAAGAUCCUAGGGUUCAAAGCUGCUUGGUGUCCUUUUGGGUUUGUAACAAACAAAUUCGGUGCCUAUUCUCUCUCCAUGUUGCUUUCCUGACAUUGGCUUAUGAGGAGAGGUCUCUGCAUAGCAGAGGAGAUUUGUCCAUCCCCCUGGCAGACUGCUCCUUCAGGCUGCGAUGAUUUCUGGGACCACACUGGUUGAGCAUGGGUAGAGGCUUGGUGGAGAAAUCAUGUGUUGUUGUCUAACGAACCAUUGACGUGGAAACAUCCAUGACGUUUAGGCAUUUUUGUUUAACGAAAAAAACAGGUGAGGAGAUUGGUGGCUUCGAGUGAGCUAUACGUGCGGCUUUGGGAGUUGUUGGAUUCACCUUGGCCGUUAGAUCACAGAUCCAGAUCUAACGACCAUAACUUGGCUACGUGGACGUCAUUAGUGCCUGGAACCCUAAUUUUACCCUUGGUACGAAUCUAUGCCAUUUAUUAUACUUAUAUGGGGUAAAAAGCUGAUUCGACUUGUAAAAUUAACUGAAAUUGAUUUAAGAUGAAAUUGUUUUUGGCCU